UACGGGGGGGGGCAAGCGUUGUUCGGAAUUACUGGGCGUAAAGGGCGCGUAGGCGGCCUUCUAAGUCGAACGUGAAAUCCCUGGGCUCAACCCAGGAACUGCGUCCGAUACUGGAAGGCUUGAAUCCGGGAGAGGGAUGCGGAAUUCCAGGUGUAGCGGUGAAAUGCGUAGAUAUCUGGAGGAACACCGGUGGCGAAGGCGGCAUCCUGGACCGGUAUUGACGCUGAGGCGCGAAAGCCAGGGGAGCAAACGGG
rnacentral:rRNA from 1 species